rfam:Batrachochytrium salamandrivorans strain BS supercont1.5153, whole genome shotgun sequence.
GCCCCUUUAGCUUAGUGGUAGAGCGUCCGCCUCGUAAGCGGAAGGUCGAGUGUUCAAUCCACCCAGGGGGCA